UUCUUCUUCCAACAAUUAUUGGCAAGCACGAGGAGCGGUGAUCUCCUUGUGCACUUAUCUCAGAAAUCUCCAUCAAGUCCAUAUCUUCGAUCUUCAUGCCUUGAGGAAGCUUCCAUGGAAUGAACUCAAAGUUGAAGCCCUUGAAGUCCACCGAGCUGCCCUCAAUCUCUCAGGCUUGAAGCUCUCUGCAACAGAGCCUGCUCAUCUAUAUCCAGUGAAAAUGCAUUGAUGAGUACCCGAGCUCCGGCGGGCAUUCCAUAUCUCAUGACCUCACAUGUCUCUGUGCAUACUCUCGGUAGCAACAGAAAGAUCAUGACUGGAAUUCAACUAAAAUUGAUUGUGAUCUCCCCUGGGUUCAUCUUCCCAUCCAGGUUAUAAUUUUGGAUCGAGGUAGCCGGUCGGAGGAUGCCAGUGGUGGACAGGUCGCCCUUGGUCGGCACCAUAUAAUCCGUCCACCGCCGGCGGCCUCCGGCUGACUAUCUCGAUCCAAAAUUAUAACCUAGGUGAGAAGGUGAACUCAGAAAAGAUCGUAGUCAAUUUUAGCCAGAUUUCGUCCGCUAUCCGAUGUGCAAAUUAUGAAAGGGACCAAGAAGAAAGUAGAGAUUGCGAACCAGAGAAUCUAGACUCUUGAAUUUGAGGAUGUCACUCUCUUCAACCUUGCUCUAUUGGACGUAUGUUGUUACUGUACAUGUUGCCAAGUGAGUGGCACACAUUACCAAUUGAGUGGGCAAGUGGUAUUCACUCUUCUCUCAAUAAGAUGUCCAAUCAAAUCAAAAGGUGAGGGGUUCAUUCACUGAACAAAAGGGAUUUGGUUUGGGGAUUUGUGAAGAGCUUUUCGUUCGUAAUCUGUCUUCCGACAACAAGAACAGAGAACUCAAGAUCAUCAGAAAACUUUCUUUUCCAAUUUCUUCGGUGGAUCACUAGCAAAUUUGAGUUCUCAAGCAUUGAAUUCACCCCAUUGUAUGCCUUCUUGGCCCCUAUUUGCUGUCAAAACUUAUCACGGAUGGAGUUUGUCUCCGUUGCGUUCUGCUUUUGUCAAGCAAAAUUGCAAUAGCGUUGCGACUCGAAGUUGAAGCCCUUGAAGUCCACCGAGCUGCCCUCAAAUCUCUCAGGCUUGAAGCUCUCUGCAUCAGAGCCCCAGUAUUGCUCAUCUCUGCCCAGUGAAAAUGCAUUGAUAAGCACCGAGCUCCAGUGGGCACUCAAUAUCCCAUAACCUCACACGUCUCUCUGCAUACUCUCGGCAGCAAUAGAUGGGUAGGAGAGUGGAGCCGCAGCGUCUCCUUGAUCACUAAAUUUAGAUAACUGAAUUUGAAGAUGUCACUCUCUUCGAGCUUGGUCUUCCCUUGCAUAGCCUCCCUCAUCUCCUUGUGGGCUUUCUCCAUUGCCUUGGGGUUCUUGAUCAACUCUGACAUAAUUCAUCCAAUAACCGUGGAUGAUGUUUCCCUCCCUGCCAGGAAUAUUUCGUAGAGAUAAUAAUUAAGCUAUUAGCAAUCGAAAGAUAUAUAAUAAAGAUUCUUUCACAUAUUAAAUUGCAUAUGUGUGUAAUUCAUUUACCAUGAUGAUGGCCUUGAUGCAGUUGGAUGUGAUUGGGAAUUCUUGAUUUCCUUCAUCUUUAAGUUUGAGAAGUACAUCGAUGUUUAGA